GCGCGCAGACAGAACACCGAACGCCGGCAUGUGUGGAUUGAAUUUCGGAAAGUUGAAGGGGUAUUCUCAAUAAUUCUUGUAUUCUAGUUGAUGAAAAUUGUUACCGUUAGCUUCUGAUUGCGGAUUGUUCGGAAUAUGGCAGCAGCAAUGGAGCCCGUCUCCUCCCGGGAUCUCGAAUGUCGCAAAAUUUGUGUAGAGCGGUUUAUCUAUGCCAUCCUGUACAGCGUCGCUGCCCAGUAUCUGCUAUUAACGGUGUUCCUGCUGCUAGUCAACUUUAGUUUACUUCAUCCGGUCGUUUGGAUUUUGGGCUCCUUCCGGUUGCUCCUCUCGCUAUCGACCUGGCUCUGGAUAAUGCCACUCGUUAGUGCCGUCAUUGUGCAUGGCAUUUUUCUAGCUAAGGCAUAUCUUUCGGCCAGCAGCUACUGUCCGACAAGAUUCCAGCUGCUGUAUCGCACCCUUAUUCAAAAGUCGGUUUUGCUGCUGAUUAACUGUGUGAUUGGCUUCCUGACCGGAUGGUUAUACACAAGGUUCCUACGAGACGAUUAUCGGUUGCUAUUCUUGAACACUGACAAAGGAUUAUCGGUACUGAAUGAAAAAUUCCUGUUUCUUUUGCUGGGCGGGACAUUCGCAGGAGUGUACUUUUUCGUGAAAAAUAACCGCACAGUGGACGAUAAAGCAUCUUUUGUUAGCUUUCCGGUCAUUCAACAACCACGUUACCAGCAGAUAAGAGCCAACCUAUACAGCAUCGUGUACCACUCGAUGUUCAAAUCCUUCGUUCCAACGUUGAUCUACGUGAGUUUCUUCUACACCUUCUGUUGCCUUUAUUUCCGGUACAAGCUUGCUGCACUCUUCCAAGGAACCGUGCUGGCCGAGGAAUCUUUCCUAGGAGCGUUUUACACAACCGUAUCUGAUGUCCGAUUGGUCGUAUACUGCUGGAUCUUGUCCUCGCAAGUUCUGAGCAAUAUGAAUCUCAUGCAGGUCUUGUUCCACAUUUUUCUGACCGAAUAUCGGACGUUCCCAGUUGAAAAAUCUACGAUAAACAAUGAUGCCGAGGUCUCGCUGGUGGAAGCCUUGGCUUGUGAUAAAAUUCCCAUCGUACAGCAGCUGGCAGCUUUGGAUCUUUUUACUAUUGCCGACAGCUGCGACGUAUCUCGACGAAUUCGACUCUACGCAUUAUCCAUUCCCGGAGGCCACCCGUACAAUUGGCGAAUCGUUUCUGGCGAAUGUAUUCGAUUGAUCCGUGAGUUCACCAAUGAACUAUCUAAAUCAAUGGAAGGUGCCACUCCCAAGGUGCAUCCUGAAGUGUCCAAACUCCGUCCCACCGCUUCGAUGGAUGCCGAAAAAAUACUCAUGAAACAAUACAACGAAAGUUUCGGCAUUCGAAGUUUAUCUACAACCGUACCGCCUAACAAUGCCAUUCCUCCAAGUCAACCGGAUGUUAUCUGUAAAACCAUAGAUCGAAAGUUGGAUUCAUUGCGCCAAACACUUCGCAAUAUACCAGGAAUUUUCUAUCUAUUCGGAGAACCUAAAGCUGCCAAAACUUGCUACCUUCUGUCGAGUCAAUCGCAGCAAAUGAUCUGGAUAUCUCAAGCGCUAGGAUCUCUGGCAGCUCAUUCGAUUCGCGAAGACCAAUUCGGGGUGGUUCAGAACGAUCUGCCACUGAUCAUUAGAACGUUGUUGCAGCUAAAACAAGUCGUCGACAAGGUCGGUUCCAUCCAGCUGGAUAUGAAGAAAGUGGAUCGACGCUACGUGGCCCUGAAAGCAGCGACCAAGAGAAGCCUUUACCGGAUUGCUCAUGCCUUUGCCGACUACCUGAAUGAUAUUGUGCUGGAUCCAAACGACGUUAAAGCUCUGCAAGGGUUUGUGAGCUACAGGGAAAUCUGAGGAUGGCCGGCUAGUGUAAGAAUAAUUCAGUUGUUGAUUUGAUUAUCAAACAAUUUACUUUGUUUUCAAUUAAAAACUACUCACUGCAUCGUUCAUCAAUAACUCCCACUUUCCUGCACCUAUGACCGGAGGCCAUGAUCUCGGCUUGGACUUUGUUAGAAAGAAACGCGCAAAGACCGGACACAAAUCGGCGCGAUGAAGACACCACUGACUGUUUGGUGCCGUGUGCACGUCGCUAUCGAUGGACUUGUGUUUUGCGAAAUGCGCGCCCCGCUUGACCAAACAGUCAGGAGGGACGACGGACACGAGAAUCCUUUGUCAGCGCGGUAACAAGAGUACUAAGAAGGAUGGGGAAUCGACUUACGAACUAUACAAGGAAAAAAAACUCACAACAAACAAAUAUCGAAACCGAAAAUGGGUCACGUCUCAGAGAAAUAGAAAAUAUUUUCCGACCGAGGAACGGUUGCCGUUGAAAAUUUUGCGCAUUAGUUUAAACCGUACAACUUUGUAUAAAUGAGGAUGGGUGGAAAACCUGCUUCAACGCUCUUGCUAAUCAGCAAUCGUAUGAACGAAACGUGCCUUUGUGGGUGUUUAUUUUUUUCUGCUUCUGCAAACAAAAGGACAGGUUCAUUAAUUUUAAUGUGAAUACAUUUCGUCUGACAAACAUAUGUAGCGAAUUUAGGUGGGUAAAGACGAAUAUUCCCUAGCUAUAGGGGACUAGUUCAGCCAACAGACACACCCCCUUGCGGUAGAGACGAUUAACAUAUCCGAUUUUUGUUAUCUUCGCGAUUCAUUAGGCGGGAUCCCGCGGGAGGAGAUAAUGCCAAUUUCAUUUCGAUCGAAACCGAAAUGGUAAAGUUGAAAGAUACACCUUUUGAUUGUUAAUGAUAUUCAACUCUUGAUUCAAAAUCCAUUAUAUCAGGUUUUUUUUUGGAUAAAAAGUUAUCUACAAGCAAUGACCUACUGUUAAAGUUUUCAUUGAG